rnacentral:SRP_RNA from 1 species
GCUGGGUGUGGUGGUGUGCACCUGUAAUCCCAGCUACUCAGGAGGCUGAGGCAGUAGAAUUGCUUGAACCCGGGAGGUGGAGGCUGCAGUGGGCAGAGAUCAUGCCACUGCACUCCAGCCUGGGUAACAGAGUGAGACCCUGUCUCAA